rnacentral:rRNA from 1 species
UACAGAGACUGCAAGCGUUAUUCGGAUUCACUGGGCGUAAAGGGUGCGCAGGCGGCCGAGUGUGUGAGGCGUGAAAGCCUGGAGCUCAACUCCAGAAUUGCACCUCAAACUACACGGCUAGAGCAUUGGAGAGGGUAGCGGAAUUCACGGUGUAGCAGUGAAAUGCGUAGAUAUCGUGAGGAACACCAGAGGCGAAGGCGGCUACCUGGACAAUUGCUGACGCUCAGGCACGAAAGCCGGGGGAGCAAACAGG